UACGUAGGUGGCGAGCGUUAUCCGGAUUUAUUGGGCGUAAAGCGUGCGCAGGCGGUUUGUUAAGUCUAAAAUUAAAGCCCGAAGCUUAACUUCGGUUCGUUUUAGAAACUGGCAGACUUGAGUAUGGUAGAGGCAAAUGGAAUUUCUAGUGUAGCGGUAAAAUGCGUAGAUAUUAGAAGGAACACCAGUGGCGAAGGCGAUUUGCUGGGCCAUUACUGACGCUCAUGCACGAAAGCGUGGGGAGCAAAUAGG
rnacentral:rRNA from 1 species